CGAGGGAAACGCCCCCAUGAUUCAGUUACGUCCCACCUGGUCUCUCCCACACACGUGGGGAUUGUGAGGAUUACAAUUCAAGAGGAGAUUGGGAUAGGGACUCAAAGCCUAACCAUAUCACAGGGAGCACCUGAAGCCGGUGGGGAACUGAGAUAGGGAAAGGAAGAAGCCAGUCACAGCUGUUGUUGCCAUAGCCUCCCUGCAGUGCUGGUUCCUAAAGGAUGGGUAGGAAUUCUACAAGAGGAAAGGAAGGGGGAGGGCAGUCCAGAUGGAAGGAACAGUCCCAACAAAGGGGAAGACAACAAAGGACACACCAUCCUUGGUGAUGCUGAGAGGAAGGGAUGCCCUCACAAUAGCAACACUGUUUCAGAAGCUGUGGGAACUCAACCUAUUAAACUAAAUAGAAUUGGAAAUAU